AACAAACGCUGGCGGCGUGCCUAAUACAUGCAAGUCGAACGGGGAAAGCUUUCGGGUGAGUACUAGUGGCGCACGGGUGAGGAACGCGUGGAUAAUCUGCCUUAGAGUGGGGGAUAACUAGUCGAAAGAUUAGCUAAUACCGCAUAAGACCACAGGAACUGAGGUUCUAGAGGUCAAAGGUUUUUCGCUCUAAGAUGAGUCCGCGUAAGAUUAGCUAGUUGGUGAGGUAACGGCUCACCAAGGCGACGAUCUUUAACUGGUCUGAGAGGAUGAUCAGUCACACUGGAACUGAGACACGGUCCAGACUCCUACGGGAGGCAGCAGUAGGGAAUAUCGCACAAUGGAGGAAACUCUGAUGCAGCGACGCCGCGUGAGUGAUGAAGGCCUUCGGGUCGUAAAGCUCUGUCGCAGGGGAAUAACACAAUGAAGGUACCCUGUAGAAAGGAUCGGCUAACUUCGUGCCAGCCGCCGCAGUAA
rnacentral:rRNA from 1 species